UGACAAAUAGAUCAAAUUGAUGGAUAAGAUUUCCACGUCUUUAUUUUAUCUUUUUUAAUACUGAAGUAUUUAUGGAAGGGAAAGAAGUACCACAACACCUUUCGGUAUGCCUCCCCCCGCCCCUUUCUAACUUCAUUUUAGAAAAGGAAGUUGCUUUUGGUAUGAGAAAUUAAAAGGAGGUUGAAUUCAUGUUUUUAUCCUUUCGUAAAAUUCUAAGAUAUUGCAUAAUCUUAUUUGUUGCUUAGAAUUCAGAUCUCAAAGUGAAUAUUUUGUUGAACCAUGUAGAAUCUGCACCCGUCAAUUAUUUGUCAAUUUUUAAAAUGCUCAUUGUUGUGAUAAUUUAUCUAGGAUCGUAGAUCCAAAAAUCAAUUUCACAAAGAAAGAGUCUAAGAAGACCACUUCUGAAGAAAAAAUUCGGCCAGUCAGAGAAUAUUUAUCACCACAUGAUAUGAAGUGACUGGAGGCUUAUGUUGGCAAUCUUGCUGACUUUCAUUUGAUUUUAGAUUUAGUUCCCAUCCUUACACAUAUGUACUUUCAAGAAAAGCUUCCAGUUAAAUUGUCAUAUGUUCAAGCUUCUGUGUUACUCUGCAUUGGUCUACAAAAUCAGAACAUUUCGUACAUCCAGGGACAAAUGAAGUUGGAAAGGCAACAAAUAUUGUCUCAAUUUAUAAAGAUCAUGAAGAAGUUCUACAAAUAUCUUAAUGGCAUUGAAUCAA